AGGAUGAACGCUGGCGGCGUGCCUAAGACAUGCAAGUCGAGUGGGUUUAGGCCCACGGCGAACGGGUGAGUAAUACCUAGGAACUUUUUUCAAGUCGAGGAUAUCCUUCCGAAAGGAAGUGCAAUACUUGAUGUGGCAGCAAUGCUAAAGGAGCAAUCCGCUUGAAGCAAGGCCUGGGCACCAUCAGCUAGUUGGUAAGGUAAUGGCUUACCAAGGCUUUGACGGUUAGCGGAUCUGAGAGGAUGGCCCGCCACACUGGGACUGCGACACGGCCCAGACUCCUACGGGAGGCAGCAGUUUGGAAUUUGGUCAAUGGGGGAAACCCUGAACCAGCGACGCCGCGUGGACGAUGAAGGCCUUCGGGUCGUAAAGUCCUUUUGGCAGGGAAAAUUUGAUUGUACCUGCAGAAUAAGAGGUUGCUAACUCUGCGCCAGCAGCCGC
rnacentral:rRNA from 1 species